UACGUAGGGUGCCGGCGUUAAUCGGAAUUACUGGGCGUAAAGCGUGCGCAGGCGGUCUGCUAAGAGAGGUGUGAAAUCCCCGGGCUUAACCUGGGAACUGCGCUUCUAACUGGCAGGCUUGAGUGUGGCAGAGGGGGGUGGAAUUCCACGUGUAGCAGUGAAAUGCGUAGAGAUGUGGAGGAACACCGAUGGCGAAGGCAGCCCCCUGGGCUAACACUGACGCUCAUGCACGAAAGCGUGGGGAGCAAACAGG
rnacentral:rRNA from 1 species